CGAAAACCUGUCUCAGUUCGGAUUGGAGUCUGCAACCCGACUCCAUGAAGCUGGAUUCGCUAGUAAUCGCGCAUCAGCCACGGCGCGGUGAAUACGUUCCCGGGCCUUGUACACACUGCCCGUCAAGCCAUGGAAGCCGGGGGUGCCUGAAGUGCGUGACCGCAAGGAGCGCCCUAGGGUAAAACCGGUGACUGGGGCUAAGUCGUAACAAGGUAUC
rnacentral:rRNA from 1 species